rnacentral:rRNA from 1 species
CGUGUAGGCGGUUUGGUAAGUCGGACGUGAAAGCUCCUGGCUCAACUGGGAGAGGUCGUUCGAAACUGCCAGACUUGAGGACGGUAGAGGAGAGUGGAAUUCCGGGUGUAGUGGUGAAAUGCGUAGAUAUCCGGAGGAACACCAGUGGCGAAGGCGGCUCUCUGGGCCGUACCUGACGCUAAGACGCGAAAGCUAGGGUAGCAAACAGGAUUAGAUACCCUGGUAGUCC